rnacentral:rRNA from 1 species
GAGUGAACGCUGGCGGUAGGCCUACCACAUGCAAGUCGAACGGCAGCACAGUAAGAGCUUGCUCUUACGGGUGGCGAGUGGCGGACGGGUGAGGAAUACAUCGGAAUCUACUUUUUCGUGGGGGAUAACGUAGGGAAACUUACGCUAAUACCGCAUACGACCUACGGGUGAAAGCAGGGGAUCUUCGGACCUUGCGCGAUUGAAUGAGCCGAUGUCGGAUUAGCUAGUUGGCGGGGUAAAGGCCCACCAAGGCGACGAUCCGUAGCUGGUCUGAGAGGAUGAUCAGCCACACUGGAACUGAGACACGGUCCAGACUCCUACGGGAGGCAGCAGUGGGGAAUAUUGGACAAUGGGCGCAAGCCUGAUCCAGCCAUACCGCGUGGGUGAAGAAGGCCUUCGGGUUGUAAAGCCCUUUUGUUGGGAAAGAAAAGCAGCAGGUUAAUACCCCGCUGUUCUGACGGUACCAAAAGAAUAAGCACCGGCUAACUUCGUG